GAAAAACAGUGUGUAAAGGGGGAAUAGAAGAAGCUGGCUACCCGAAGCGGUGAGGGUGAAGCGACCCAGGAGCACCUGAGGAGAAAAAAACCCUCAGAUAUCAAUGAAGCACACAAGCAUGAAUUUGCAGCAUUUCCAUUCAGUGCAGUAAGGGCUUAGCUCUCCAGACCCUGAUAGCACAUGGAGCUCUGGUUUGGCAGAAUACCAGCGGGCUCCUCUGUUGAGAGAGUGAAAGGGAGAGCCCACAUAUGGAGUCCGUAGACCACUCAGCCUCAAAGCGUGGCUUAGCUCUCAGGGUGAUGAAAUAUUCAUUGAGCGUGCUCAAACACAGUGAACGCUUCCUCCAUUUUUAAAGUGGCACAGAAGUGGGACUUCUCAUCAUAUUGGCCAUAAUUCAAUCAGGUUAUCAUGUGGUGAUCAUCAAAAGCACAUACACACACAGGAGUCUGGCUGGGGAACAACCCUCUACGAUGAACACACUAGGGUAUUUUAACUUCCCUUGGCAGGGGCCACUAUAGUUCUGUCAACACUACCUCUACUAAUCAAUUUAUAUUGCAUACCUUUGUAACUUCAGCAGAUAGCUGAGAUCAGCUUAUAUUUUUCUUACAGCACACAUUUAAUAAAUGUAGAGUGCUGUGCAAACCACUUUUUGUUGGCAUCAGUCUUUCAUUUUGCAUAUGUUUCAUUGCUAAUUCAUCAAUUUAAACAUUGUAGCUAAUGAAACUGGUAGAAAAUGCACAGCAUUUAAUUAAUCACUAGAUGUCAGGAAUACGUGUUUUUUUGUUUGUUUUUUUAUAGUGUAGGCCUAAAUCAGGUUAGACACCAUACUGAAUUUAACAUGGAUGAAAACUAGCUGUGAGAGAUAGAUAUCCGAAGGCACAAACUGUAUAAA